GUGAGGAAUAUUGGUCAAUGGACGAGAGUCUGAACCAGCCAAGUCGCGUGAAGGAAGACGGUUCUAUGAAUUGUAAACUUCUUUUGUGCAGGAAUAAAGUGGGUUACGUGUAACCUUUUGUAUGUACUGUACGAAUAAGGAUCGGCUAACUCCGUGCCAGCAGCCGCGGUAAUACGGAGGAUCCGAGCGUUAUCCGGAUUUAUUGGGUUUAAAGGGUGCGUAGGUGGAUUGAUAAGUCCGCGGUGAAAGUUUGCAGCUUAACUGUAAAAUUGCCGUUGAAACUGUCGGUCUUGAGUGCAAAUGAGGUAGGCGGAAUGUGUUGUGUAGCGGUGAAAUGCUUAGAUAUAACACAGAACUCCGAUUGCGAAGGCAGCUUACUGGGAUGCAACUGACACUGAUGCACGAAAGCGUGGGUAUCAAACAGGAUUAGAAACCCCUGUAGUCC
rnacentral:rRNA from 1 species